UAAUAACUCCAGAGGAAGACAUGAGAGAUUUAAGUAGGAAGGGGAAAUUCAACAAGAUGCCAUAGGGCUCUCUAAUCUUGAGGAAAGAAAAAAAAAAAAAAUAAGGCUAUUUUCUGAGCCACGUUAUAAUCUGGGUGUGUACUAUUCUCACAUGCCAGGAUCAUUCCUCCUCUGCAUUUUCCAAAAGCUCAGUAGGAGAUAAGAACACUUUGCUAAAAGUCCUUCUUAUGAACUACUCCUCAGGCAGAUUUGCCCUCAGCUUUUCUUCCAGUUCUACUCAUAAUAAAUAAGAAUUAAAGGGCAAUGAGUUACUCAUUAAUAUAUUUUCUUAAAUUUUAGGCUCUAAGCAACAAUUAUUCUUAUUAAAUAAGGGAAACAAGUUAUACUAUUAGAACACAAAUGGUUUAUAUUUUAGAUUAGCUCCCCCAUAGAAAAUGUAAGACAAAUAAUUAAGGUGUGCAAAACACAUAUACCAAAUAUGAUGUCAAACUGAGAAAAACUGGUCUUCACAGGACAGUUCUAUUCAGAACUAUAGUAACAGUGUCCAGAACCUACAAUUCUCCAAUACUAUAUAAAAAUGUUUAAAUCGCUCAAGGAAAGCUUCUAUUUUGUAUAAAACAUUAUUAGCUAUAUACCCUAACUAUCUGGUAUUCUUAGUAAAGAAGUAUGUCAUGUAAACUAACCAUUCUUGUUUCAAUUAUAAUAACAUCACUUAUGCUGGGCUAUAGCCUUUAUAAUCAUCUUAACAUCAAUACCUAGAUUAACUUUAGUGAAUACUUCAGCCUUUACGAACUUCUGAGAUGACACAGGGAUACGAACAAACUACUCAAAGUUCCAGGGUUUUCUGCUCUUCAGAUAAUGUCUCUGGAGUGCAAAGGUAUUUACAUAUAUUUUCCAUCGAUAUCAUCAUAUAAUGGAGUAUUUGCUAUAUCUAAAGAACAUUUUUCAUCCAGCUACUAUUUUCUAAAUCCCAGCUAUGUGUCCAAGGCAAUGAGGAGAAAUGAGAACUGUGUCCAUCCUUACAAAGUUUAGUCUACUGGAUGACACUGUGUGCCUGAUGCCUGUGUGUCUGUAAUUUACAAUGUUACUGAUGAAAAUGCAGAAGUCCAAAUAACAGAUAAUGGUGAAAUAUAGUAAAAGACUGGGAGAGGCUUUAGCAAUACUGCAUCACUUAUCAUUCAUCUUCAGGUCUGCUUUUAUUUGAGAAUUACAAUUGUUUACCAACUAUCUCCCAAGAUUCUGAGCUUCCCCCUGGGCUCUCCCUUAACCCAGUCCAUCCCAUAUUUACAGGUCUACAUGAUUACAAUAGAGGAGCCUUGAACUCGUGUUUACCUCAAGGUAUAUGCCCUGGGAAUAAAGGCCACACAAAAAAACCCAAUAUGCCUCAUUAAGUGCAUAUCUUACUGGUUUAAAAAAUGAUAAUAGGGAUUAUGAUAAAAUUUUAAAAGGGGAAUUACAGGUACAUGGUUAAAAAUGUAAUGGAAGAUAACAAAACUGGGACAUAAUCACUAUCAACCAGAUAAGAAACCCCAUGACAAGGGGUUCUUUGGCCUUCCACUGGUGUGCCUGCUAACUUUGUGGCCCUUGUUGUCUUACCCUGUACUUCUACCAGUUAAUGCCAAGCUUAGUGGUCACAUCUUAGCGAUGUGACUUAAUCACAUGGAUACCUUCGAUGUUUCUACUUUCAUCACAGGCUGGGGUGUGUGUGUGUGUUUACCUUCCCUUAUAGGUGUUGCUAUUCUAGAUCUAAACCUUUAAGAAAUAUGAAAAGUAUUUUAUUAAUUGCCUCUGUGCAUCUUCUUCGUUCUUAGAGAAGGAAAGUGUGGACUAACUUCAGUGAGCACAUUCCACACAGAAAACCUACAAGGUGCUUAGCACUGUGCUAGGUGCUGUAUCAAUCAGAAAGAAACCAAAUGGCAGCCUGCAGUAUCUUGGUUUAUUAUAGAAGCCAAGACAUACAAAAGGGAAAUAACAGUGUGUAUAAUGAAGAACUAAAUUGAAUAUAAUCAAGUACCAAACUACAAAAGGUAGUGAGUGCCAUAAUCUUCAGAAAGGGGAGCAACUAUUCCUAGAACUACCAUGAAUUUGGGUUAUGGGUGUGGGAGCUCAGCAAGGUGAGAGGACAUUAGAUUUAGAGGUCAAAGCACCAGGCUUAAGUAAAUGCAGAGAUGAGAAAGGAGUCUGAUUCAUGGAAGAGGAGUAGCCACCGUUUAGGAGAAUAUGGUUAAGUUUACUUUGUGAAGGACCCUACGGACCAAGAAGUCUGACUUUGAUCUGAUGAGAAAUGCACUCACUUAGUACCCUUUGGUAGGGAAAGGUGUGGAGUGGUUUUGGCAAGUUAGAACAGGACAAAGAUCAAGGAGUGAGAUCAGCAAAGUCAGAGACCAAUUCACUACUUUGUAAUCAAGAAAAAACAACAAAAAGGAGUCAGAACAAUACUUGGUAUGUCACAAGCAUUCAAUAAAAGUGCUCGCUAUUAUAAAAUAAUUUCAGGGACCAGCAUGGUAAGGCUGGGAAAACAAACAGUAAGAUCUAUUUCAAAAGUACCUGUUUCACAACAUGAGAAAGAUGGACACUCAUAUUUUUUUGGGUCUUACUUUUCUAUCAAGGGCUGAAAAAAGAGAAUGAGCAGUCUUAUAAGGUUAACUUCUAGAUCUUCCACAGAAAAGCAUUUAAAUGCUUUGUGGAAAAUGUGGUUUAUUGGGUAACAUUCCUAACAAGUAAAUUGCUCAUGAGCAAAGUACUCAAAGGUUUGUUGUGGGGGGCCAGUGAUCAUUAACACAUUCUACCAUCAGGUCUCAUACUCGCAGGUAUUCAGAAAAUGUCUUUCCCUCCCUUUUCCUUAUAUUCUCUAACCUGAUCCAACUGUUGAUGGCUUUUAGCAUGUAAAAGAAUGUAAAGCAAGAGUUGGGAGAGUGAAAUAGGAAUGUGAAAAAAAAAUUUUUUUUUAAAUAAGAAC
rnacentral:lncRNA from 1 species